rnacentral:rRNA from 1 species
UACGAAGGGGGCUAGCGUUGCUCGGAAUCACUGGGCGUAAAGCACACGUAGGCGGAUUGCUAAGUCAGGGGUGAAAUCCUGGAGCUCAACUCCAGAACUGCCCUUGAUACUGGCGGUCUCGAGUCCGGGAGAGGUGAGUGGAACUGCGAGUGUAGAGGUGAAAUUCGUAGAUAUUCGCAAGAACACCAGUGGCGAAGGCGGCUCACUGGCCCGGUACUGACGCUGAGGUGCGAAGGCUAGGGGAGCGAACAGG